GCCGCGGCCGCCCGUGAGGCGCCGGCGCUGCGGCACCGGCGGGCAUAGGGCGGCGACGGGGACGGGGAUCGGGAUGGGGCCGGGGAGCCGCGGUUGCGGCGUGGGGGGCACCGACAGCCCGCACCGCGCCAGCCCCCAGCUGCGCUCCCCGGCCCCCGGGUAAGGGCGCCGCCGCACCGGCUCUGCCCCCUCAGCGGCCGCCCUCACGCGCUCUCCGAUUUUUCCAGGGCAGCAAGGGGAAAACCACUGCCACAGAGAAGGAAGAGGCUAGGGGACACUUCUCCCAGCCCGGGCCUGGAGAGGUGACUCGUUUUUUAAGAGGGUAGAUCAGGCUUCAUCAACUGUAUCCCCCCCCUCCACAAAUAACGCUUUCUACUGCACGUCGUUUUCACCUCUGCCCACCCACAGGUAUGCAGGUUUUAGCAAAGAGGACCGGGUUCAAUAGUGAACAGUUUUCCAUCAUCAACCGUCAGUAAGAAAACAACUUCCCUGAAAUAAAACUGUCUGAUUUAUGUACAAAUAGGCAGAACAGCAUCUGUUUCACAUCAGCCAAUGCAACACUUAAAGAAGUCAAUGUUUGAGGCCUAAAUUGUGUACUGUGUAAGACGUGCAUUUUUUUCUUUAUGAAUAACUUCUUUGGUUAUUGUUGUUCUAUCAUCUUCUUGGCUGUAGAAUAAAACAGCACCUGAUUAGCAUUACAGAACCAGGCAUAUAUACGUAUGCAUUUAUGUAUACACUGGGUUUAGCACAGAUACCUGUCCAAUUGUUGCUAGAAAAGUUCCGCUGUAGUUUCUUUGACACAGAGCUGCUUUUCAGAAUCCAGUCCACAAGUUUUACUGCACUUCACUCUGGUCGUCAAGCAGAACUCUCACUGACCUCAGUUACCACUUUGCUGAGACACUUGGUUUGCUGCCCACCACCAGCAGUGCAGUCAGGAAAUGUUUCAAUUUUGCCAGGGUGGCAACCUUUCUCAGAAACCUCCUUGAAGUUCAAGAGCAUAGAGGUUUGGAAGAGAAAAAGUAGACUGCUCGAUUGUUUCUGCCACAGCCAACUCAAGCUACAGCUCACAAAACCCACCACUUUGCUAACACUAAGACUUGUGCACCCUACAAAAUGUGCCAUCCAUGGAUUUAGUUGGCAGCACCCAGCUGAACACCCAGACAGUUGAACUUGGGCUACAUGGGCCCUGCAAACAGUGAUGUGUCACAGCGUGGACUGGAACUGAUCAUGAGUGUGCUGACUGGCAGCUCAGAAAAGGAAAGAAGGCUGCUGCCUGAUCUCCUGAAACUCACAGGUACAGCGAUUGAGAACAUUGUCCUUUCUGUAUGAGAGGGAGCAAAAUUCUACCCACUGGUCAAAAAUAACCGAAAAGUCUCUGAAACAACCCCCAAAACACUAAAACCACAUACACAGGAACUUCACUAACCUGAAACUGAGAAGCGACUGCCAUUCUCCUGAAGGGCUGUUCUUUAGUAUCAGAACACUUGACCUGAAGUAAAAAGUUCAGGUCAUUUGGCUUCACGUAUUUGGCUUUAACAGAGAAGUUACCUCUCUGCCAGCGAGUCCCACUGGUUUUGAAAUUGUGGUCCAGUACUCCUAUACAAAAGUAUUGUGGUUUACCCUCAUUUUGCAUAGUUACACAAAAGAAGACAGUAGAAAAUAAGAUCCUCCAUUUCUCAGUCUUCUUACAACAUUAGGAAUGUGACAAAAAGACCUCAACAAAAAACAAAACCCAACCCAUAAAAAAUUGGAAACUGGAAGAUCUAAAAUUGGUCUUAUAAAAUAUUUUAUAAAAUUAGCAGUACCCUCUACUGUACGAGAUUCACAAGAAAAUCAGUGCUACUUGCUGUGAAAGCUCUAAAGUCAGUACUCCUUUUCUGUAAUUAAAGGUCCACUCAGCCUAACUCCAUUUCUUCCAGAGGUUCUAGAUUUGCUCAAGAUUCUGCAAGGUACGAUUAUUUUCAGAUCUCAUUUAGAGAACCACAUUCAAAUUUAUAUAAAUGGAGUUAGACAUCUGGCAUGUAGAUCUGAGCCUAAGGGAGGAGAAACAGUAUACAAACAGCAACAUCAUCUCACCUUGGGAGCGUGUUUUACUAAAUAAAUACCAUUUGAAUUUGAUGCAAUGAGGAAGACUGAAAAUGGCACAAGAGCAACACUUCAUGCAUAGGAAUACUAACUAACAUAUGCUGAAGGCAUAUACUCCAUCAAUCUCUUCCACAGGCAGGAACGUCUCCUUGUAUUUGCCCAGUAAGAGUAAGCUGCUGCAUUGCUCAAGCAUAUGUUCCUAAAACCAAUGAGAUGGCUAUUCAACAGUGUGAUUUAUUGUCACAGCAAAAUAUAAUUCCAGUGCAAUCUGAUUACCAAGGCAGUGCUCUGAUUCAGCGUUCCCAUCCGAUGAUGUGAACCACAGCACAAUUGUCUUCUUUCUUCAAUCCUUGAAUUAGGUCAUUUUAAAAUCAGCAGAUCAAAACCUUGUUAAAAAGGAAGCUCUAAAACAUACAAGGUAACCAAAGCUUUUAUGAACUAACAUGUAUGCAUUAAGGCAAGACAGAACUGAAAAAGUACUGUGAUACUACAGAUGAUACAGUCACUCCUGUAUUUAUUUCACAGUUAAAGAUUUUUUUUUCCUCUACCUCCCUUGAAAUGACAGCACACAAAAAAAGAACGUAAUCAUCUCCUUAACAGAGAUGACAUUUAGCUUCUAGAAGAUGCUGGAAGUGAUCCAGUGCAGGCAAGAAAAAUGUUCCACCAGAAGUGUGCAGAGAUAUUCUUGUAAGUGGGGUAAAGUGAAACUUGGAAGGGUUAAAGACUAAAGAUCCUACUGUGAGUGUCUGGAGGGAAAUGACAGCAGAACUGUGAACUUCUCGAAUUAGCGGCCUUUGAAGAUACCAGCAAAAUAAGCCCAGAUAAAAACACCUUGUAAGAAUAUUUGUACCAAUUAUUUAUUUUCCCCCCCAAAACACAAAUUAAUAAAAAAAAAAAGG